GACAGAGGGGGCAAGCGUUGUCCGGAGUUACUGGGCGUAAAGCGCACGCAGGCGGCUGGGCGUGUGUGGGGUGAAAGCCGCGAGCUUAACUCGCGGUCGCCCCCGCAUACGGCUCGGCUCGAGCCCGGGAGAGGUCCCUCGAAUUGCCGGUGUAGUGGUGAAAUGCGUAGAGAUCGGCAGGAAGACCAAGGGGGAAGCCAGGGGACUGGCCCGCGGCUGACGCUCAGGUGCGAGAGCGUGGGGAGCGAACCGG
rnacentral:rRNA from 1 species